rnacentral:rRNA from 1 species
AGAUUGAACGCUGGCGGCAUGCCUAACACAUGCAAGUCGAACGGGAGUAGCAAUACUCUAGUGGCGGACGGGUGAGGAAUACGUAGGAAUUUGCCCUUAAGUGGGGGAUAACCCGGGGAAACCCGGAUUAAUACCGCAUGACCUCGAAAGAGCAAAGUGGGGGAUCGCAAGACCUCACGCUUUUGGAGAAGCCUACGUCGGAUUAGCUAGUUGGUGAGGUAAUGGCUCACCAAGGCGACGAUCCCGUAACUGGUCCGAGAGGAUGAUCAGUCACACCGGACUGAGACACGGUCCGGACUCCGUACGGGAGCAGCAGGUGGGG